rnacentral:SRP_RNA from 1 species
UCGUGCUAGGCGGGGAGUUAGCGGUGCCCUGUACCCGAAAUCCGCUUACGCGGGGCUGAAUUUCCUCUUGAGGGCUUGAAAUAUCCAUGGCGAUUACCUCUCCUGAAUUCGGGAUUGGACGUUACGCAACAGACGAUUAUGAACCCCGUCAGGUCCGGGAGGAAGCAGCGGUAAAUAAUGCGGUUUGUGUCGUAACUGCUUCUAAUCUUUGGCUUCAGGAAGGGGACACCCUGGCUGUUGGCUCGAGAGAGGAUGCACGG